CNGCCUUUCGGGUGCGANUCUGUGGGGUUUGAGGAGCUUAACACCUUCAUGCUUUGCAUAUUCGUGCUCUUGGGUGUACUUGCCCGUGUGGUUGGUUAACAUCAAUUUCGGGCACCAUAAAAUGGCUGGAGGAAUGUAGCUUCGAUCCUGUAUUGAAGUGUUAUAGCCUUCGGUAGAUGUGGUGAUCGAGAUUGAGGAUUGCAACGGAUACCNUUCGGGGCUACCUGUCUGAUCUCUGAUCGUUGCUCUGGUGCCGAAAGCUUGCUUACGGUUAUCAAAGUCGAUGGUCAAUAGGUUAGAACGGGUUAAAUUCGUUAANNNNNUGACGUA
rnacentral:rRNA from 1 species